ACCCCAGGUNAGGCGGGACUACCCGCUGAGUUUAAGC
rnacentral:rRNA from 1 species